GGGGGUGCACCGGUUUCGACUGGUGCGGUUCGGGGUACAGACUGCAGGUGGAGCGCCGAUCUCCUGAUUCGGCAAAACUUUAACUGCCAACAACGACAGUUACGAUUACGCCUUAGCUGCGUAACCGCGUGGAACCGUUCCGCCGCCUUGAGGAACGGCUUCCGCGUCACAAUCAGGGCU
rnacentral:tmRNA from 1 species